GAGCAGAAAAGUGACCACCUGUUCCUGUUUCUUGGGUCAGUCUGCCCUCAUUUAGAGUCUGAAGAUCACUGUCUCUGAUGUCCGUGUGUGAAGAAACUGAAUAGCACAGGAAGCAAGCAGAGGCCCCACCCUGUCUGGCCCAGAAGCACUGCUCUCCUGAGUCUCUGUCCCAACCUGGAGCCCUGCCCUAGACUGACCUGCCUUUCUGCAGCUGACAGACUUGAAUUCAAGAGGACGGGAAAGGGCUCCUAAUAUUUCCAUCUGAAGCGAUAUCGCUGAAAUUUCAUAGACAAGCCUUGGAGUCAUGCACAUAUCUUUCGGAUGUCUCAGAAGCACAACAGCUAUUCACAGCUCCUCUGAGAACAGACAGGGAGUUUGUAGGUGCUUCUGGCACAGGAGGGUCGAGGUGGCCAGUGGGCACGUGGAGAUGCAUAGCUAACACUGGGGAAAACCAGACUGGAAUAAUUCUCUGAGCCUUCUUUUUAGAGACAGCAGUCAAAGCAAUGGGAGUACAUGAAAUUGCCGAGAAAAAAUAAUGAAGAACUAGAGGAGGGAAGGAAAGGGGGAAAGGACUCAUCUUAUAGAAAACCCACAGCUAAGGGGAGAAGGAGAAGGUUACGCAGGGGAGUGAUCGGAGUGUGGUUGAUAGCUCUGCUCUGUAGACCUUUAAUUUGUUUGGAACUUGGUGCCACCCUGAUAUCAUAGCUGACUUGCUAAUCUUCCAAUGACCUCCAGCUUGCUUGUCUGGGUACCUCGCUCCUUUACUGGACGUUAUGAUGCCCAAGUAACAGAAUACUGUUGCUGAGAAAGAUCUUUUACAAAAUCUCCGUUGUACAAUUAGGUCCAUGAGCUCGUUCAUUUUCAGAUUCUUUUUUUAAAAUCAGACUGUAGUUUUGCAUUGUGAGUCUUUCAGGUCUCUAUAAAUAGUAUUUAUGUCUUCAUGGCUGAGGAUCUCAAAGAUAUUCAACAAUAUUUGAAUCUUAGGCUGGAGGACAUUUUGGUAUUCUUUGGUCAGGAAUAACAUUUCCUUUUAUGAAUAGCAGCUUUUAGGGAUUAUAUCAUGAUAUACAAAUAAAGAGGCCUUCACCUGACAAAUAAUCCACCAUUUGUGCAUUGUGUACAGAACACAGUGACUGUCAAACUUGACAUGCUUCCUGUGUAGAAGAGUGUGGUAGAACCUGAGAGGAGAGAGGGUUGGGGAGAAAGAACCCCAGCUCAGAUGGUGCGUGUGAUUCAGACUGCAAAUCAGGGAGGCUUCGUGGCAUGCGGCAUCGGUUGCACCGGGCCCAUACUGAGCUAAUGCCCUGCUGGUGAGUUUUGAAAUUCUUAAUACUUUUUGAAUGAGGAGCCCUGCAUUUUUAAUUUUUGCCGGGCACUGCAUCUGACCUAGCCAGUCCUGCUGCAGAGCUUAACACAUGUCUGACUAAUAAUCAGAGAGGUCAAUGGGGUCUCUCUUAGAAAUAAUGUCUGAAGUGGUUCUAUAGGUCCUGCAAGCUGGGACUGCAGCAUGUGGCCCCAUGGGCUUCCCCGACGGUGGUUCACUGGGGGCAGCCUGGGAGGGCAGGCACUCUGCAGACGGUAGCGCUGGGAGCUCUACCUUUGAGGCCACUGUCUGAGCAACAGCUGCUCACUCUGCAUGGCCAAAGAAUUUAGCUGCAAAAAUCUAAUUUGAAACUCCCUAAUUAAACUAAUGAAGUCAGAGCAUUUUAAUCUGUUCUUGGUGCAGCCCUGUGUCUAAUCCCAGAAUAAAUAGAUAAUUGUGACUUAGUGGCAUAUGUGUGCUG